GGUCCCGCCUGCCCUGUGACUAUAAGUUUAACGGCCGCGGUAUUUUGACCGUGCGAAGGUAGCGCAAUCACUUGUCUUUUAAAUGAAGACCUGUAUGAAUGGCACGACGAGGGCUUAACUGUCUCCUUUUUCCAGUCAAUGAAAUUGAUCUCCCCGUGCAGAAGCGGGGAUAAAACCAUAAGACGAGAAGACCCUAUGGAGCUUCAGACACUAAGGUGCAUCAUGUUAAUAACCCUUGACAAAAGAAUAAACCAAAUGAAAAACACCCUGAUGUCUUUGGUUGGGGCGACCGCGGGGGAUCAAAUAACCCCCAUGUGGAGUAAGAGUACCUCUCCUAAAGCUAAGAGUAACAACUCUAAUAAACAGAAUUUCUGACCAAAAAGAUCCGGCAAUGCCGAUCAACGGACCGAGUUACCCUAGGGAUAACAGCGCAAUCCUCUUUUAGAGCCCAUAUCGACAAGGGGGUUUACGACCUCGAUGUUGGAUCAGGACAUCCUAAUGGUGCAGCCGCUAUUAAGGGUUCGUUUGUUCAACGAUUAAAGUCCUACGUGAUCU
rnacentral:rRNA from 1 species